rnacentral:rRNA from 1 species
CCUACGGGUGGCUGCAGUGGGGAAUAUUGGACAAUGGGGGGAACCCUGAUCCAGCCAUGCCGCGUGUGUGAAGAAGGCCCUCGGGUUGUAAAGCACUUUCAGUGAGGAAGAACGCCUGGUGGUUAAUACCCAUCAGGAAAGACAUCACUCACAGAAGAAGCACCGGCUAACUCCGUGCCAGCAGCCGCGGUAAUACGGAGGGUGCGAGCGUUAAUCGGAAUUACUGGGCGUAAAGCGCGCGUAGGUGGCUUGAUAAGCCGGUUGUGAAAGCCCCGGGCUCAACCUGGGAACGGCAUCCGGAACUGUCAAGCUAGAGUGCAGGAGAGGAAGGUAGAAUUCCCGGUGUAGCGAUGAAAUGCGUAGAGAUCGGGAGGAAUACCAGUGGCGAAGGCGGCCUUCUGGACUGACACUGACACUGAGGUGCGAAAGCGUGGGUAGCAAACAGGAUUAGAUACCCGUGUAGUC